rnacentral:misc_RNA from 1 species
GUAGCAAACAAGGUGAUGAAACAUGAAAAGGAAGAUAGUUUACAUAAUAAUGGAAAAGGUUAUGAUGAAACCCCACCGGAUGAGAAUUUUGAUACAGAUAACUAUGUUGGCUCAGCCAAAGACUGGAUACUACCUGGGAUGGAUGAGGUUAACAUGAAGAGGCAUGUUAAUGGAGAAUCUACAUUUUUCCGAUGGAAUGAACUGACAGGCAAUGAUUUUAAGACAAAACGUAUUGAGGAGUGGGUUACAGACCUUCAGCAUUGCGGCAGAUUUGAAGAAAC